rnacentral:rRNA from 1 species
UACGUAGGUGGCAAGCGUUGUCCGGAUUUACUGGGCGUAAAGAGCGCGCAGGCGGUCGUUCAAGUCGCGUGUGAAAGCCCCCGGCUCAACUGGGGAGGGUCACGCGAUACUGAUCGACUCGAAGGCAGGAGAGGGUAGUGGAAUUCCCGGUGUAGUGGUGAAAUGCGUAGAUAUCGGGAGGAACACCAGUGGCGAAGGCGACUACCUGGCCUGUUCUUGACGCUGAGGCGCGAAAGCUAGGGAGCAAAGCGGGG